rnacentral:rRNA from 1 species
UACGUAGGGGGCAAGCGUUGUCCGGAUUUAUUGGGCGUAAAGAGCGUGUAGGCGGCUAGAUAGGUCCGUUGUGAAAACUCGAGGCUCAACCUCGAGACGUCGAUGGAAACCAUCUAGCUAGAGUCCGGAAGAGGAGAGUGGAAUUCCUGGUGUAGCGGUGAAAUGCGCAGAUAUCAGGAAGAACACCCGUGGCGAAGGCGGCUCUCUGGGACGGUACUGACGCUGAGACGCGAAAGCGUGGGGAGCAAACAGG